AGAUUAUGAGGACCAAAUGAAAUGACAUUUAUUCAAGUGUUUUGGAAGUAAAAAUGAUGUCAUCCUUAAAUAAGGGAAGAUAUUUGGGGUUUAAGAUAUUUAAUUAUUUUCCUAUUCCCGGUUCUGAUUAUUUUCGUGUGCUUUACUCUGUAGAAAGUCUGGUGUAAGUGACUACUGUGCUUUGGAUGAUAAUCAUGCCCUUCACUUAACAAGGAAGGUUGUGAGGAAUCUAAAUUAUCAGAAGAAAUUGGAUGUUACCAUUGAACCUUCGGAAGAGCCUUUGUUUCCUGCUGAUGAAUUGUAUGGAAUAGUAGGUGCUAACCUUAAGAGGAGCUUUGAUAUCCGAGAGAUUGAAUCCCUGACCCUUGGCUCAUACGUUUUGAAGGGUCCCCACCAGUAAGAUGGCAAACUUCCGGCUUCUCUUCGGGGUCCUCAGUUCCCGCCGGCGCCACCUGAAGCCCAAUCACCUCUCGCCCCCCUCCCAAUCC